rnacentral:rRNA from 1 species
GACGAACGCUGGCGGCGUGCCUAAUACAUGCAAGUCGAGCGAGCUUGCCUAGAUGAAUUUGGUGCUUGCACCAGAUGAAACUAGAUACAAGCGAGCGGCGGACGGGUGAGUAACACGUGGGUAACCUGCCCAAGAGACUGGGAUAACACCUGGAAACAGAUGCUAAUACCGGAUAACAACACUAGACGCAUGUCUAGAGUUUAAAAGAUGGUUCUGCUAUCACUCUUGGAUGGACCUGCGGUGCAUUAGCUAGUUGGCAAGGUAACGGCUUACCAAGGCAAUGAUGCAUAGCCGAGUUGAGAGACUGAUCGGCCACAUUGGGACUGAGACACGGCCCAAACUCCUACGGGAGGCAGCAGUAGGGAAUCUUCCACAAUGGACGCAAGUCUGAUGGAGCAACGCCGCGUGAGUGAAGAAGGGUUUCGGCUCGUAAAGCUCUGUUGGUAGUGAAGAAAGAUAGAGGUAGUAACUGGCCUUUAUUUGACGGUAAUUACUUAGAAAGUCACGGCUAACUACGUGCCAGCAGCCGCGGUAAUACGUAGGUGGCAAGCGUUGUCCGGAUUUAUUGGGCGUAAAGCGAGUGCAGGCGGUUCAAUAAGUCUGAUGUGAAAGCCUUCGGCUCAACCGGGGAAUUGCAUCAGAAACUGUUGAACUUGAGUGCAGAAGAGGAGAGUGGAACUCCAUGUGUAGCGGUGGAAUGCGUAGAUAUAUGGAAGAACACCAGUGGCGAAGGCGGCUCUCUGGUCUGCAACUGACGCUGAGGCUCGAAAGCAUGGGUAGCGAACAGG